GACGGUAUAGCUCAAGUGGUAGACCGCGUGCUUAGCAUGCACAAGGUCCUGAGUUCAAUUCCCAGUGCCACCA
rnacentral:tRNA from 1 species